rnacentral:rRNA from 1 species
AUUGAACGCUGGCGGCAGGCCUAACACAUGCAAGUCGAGCGGAUGAAGGGAGCUUGCUCCUGGAUUCAGCGGCGGACGGGCGAGUAAUGCCUAGGAAUCUACCUGGUAGUGGGGGAUAACGUCCGGAAACGGGCGCUAAUACCGCAUACGUCCUGAGGGAGAAAGUGGGGGAUCUUCGGACCUCACGCUAUCAGAUGAGCCUAGGUCGGAUUAGCUAGUUGGUGGGGUAAAGGCCUACCAAGGCGACGAUCCGUAACUGGUCUGAGAGGAUGAUCAGUCACAAUGGAACUGAGACACGGUCCAGACUCCUACGGGAGGCAGCAGUGGGGAAUAUUGGACAAUGGGCGAAAGCUUGAUCCAGCCAUGCCGCGUGUGUGAAGAAGGUCUUCGGAUUGUAAAGCACUUUAAGUUGGGAGGAAGGGCAGUAAGUUAAUACCUUGCUGUUUUGACGUUACCAACAGAAUAAGCACCGGCUAACUUCGUG